CAGUCGAACGGCAGCACGGGAGCAAUCCUGGUGGCGAGUGGCGAACGGGUGAGUAACAUAUCGGAACGUGCCCAGUAAUGGGGGAUAGCCCGGCGAAAGCCGGAUUAAUACCGCAUACGACCUACGGGCGAAAGCGGGGGACCUGCAAGGGCCUCGCGUUAUUGGAGCGGCCGAUAUCAGAUUAGCUAGUUGGUGGGGUAAAGGCCUACCAAGGCGACGAUCUGUAGCUGGUCUGAGAGGACGACCAGCCACACUGGGACUGAGACACGGCCCAGACUCCUACGGGAGGCAGCAGUGGGGAAUUUUGGACAAUGGGCGCAAGCCUGAUCCAGCCAUGCCGCGUGUGGGAAGAAGGCCUUCGGGUUGUAAACCACUUUUGUCAGGGAAGAAACGGUCUGCCCUAAUACGGUGGGCUAAUGACGGUACCGUAAGAAUAAGCACCGGCUAACUACGUGCCAGCAGCCGCGGUAAUACGUAGGGUGCGAGCGUUAAUCGGAAUUACUGGGCGUAAAGCGUGCGCAGGCGGUUAUAUAAGACAGUUGUGAAAUCCCCGGGCUCAACCUGGGAAUUGCAUCUGUGACUGUAUAGCUAGAGUACGGUAGAGGGGGAUGGAAUUCCGCGUGUAGCAGUGAAAUGCGUAGAUAUGCGGAGGAACACCGAUGGCGAAGGCAAUCCCCUGGACCUGUACUGACGCUCAUGC
rnacentral:rRNA from 1 species